rnacentral:rRNA from 1 species
AGGGGAGCAAUCCCCGUGUAGAGCGGCGAAAGGGUGAGUAAUGCGUUCCUACGUGCCUCAAGGUCGAGGAUAGCCAGGGGAAACUCUGGGUAAUACUCGAUGUGGUCGCAAGAUCAAAGGCUUGCCGCCUUGAGAGCGGGGAACGUCCUAUCAGGUAGUUGGUGAGGUAACGGCUCACCAAGCCAAUGACGGGUAGCGGGUGUGAGAGCAUGGCCCGCCACAUCGAAACUGAGACACUGUUCGGACUCCUACGGGAGGCUGCAGUAACGAAUCUUCCGCAAUGCGCGAAAGCGUGACGGAGCAAUGCCGCGUGCAGGAUGAAGCCCUUCGGG